AUUCUGACCGACUUCUGCUCUUUCUCUGAAACCGAGCCAGCAGUUACUUUUUAAUUACACGCUGAUCGCAACGUGGAUACAGUCUCACAAAUUCCUUAGUUUCUAUCUUCUAAUUCUUCCCUUCUUCUAUAUAUCCUUAUUUCCCCCUUUAUUAUACUCCACCAAGGGGGGUGGUUGUUUAAACAGCCACGCAUCCUUUAACCUGGAUGGAGUGAAACUGGUUCUUUCCUUGAGUUCCAAAUAUCUCGGAAGGAUCCUGAGCCAGUAAUUACUUGGGAGAAGGAACAUCAAGGAGCGCACAAAAAAAAGGUCUCAUUGCACUCAAUUCAAGUAAUAUCGAAAUGGGAAAAACUGGAGGCUCAGAUCACAAGUUGCACCUUGGGUGAACAUUACAAAAGUCUCUCCAAUUCCAAUCAAUAGGUUCCUCGUCUGGUAGCAUACGAUUAAGUCCAGAUAGCUUAUGUUCAAAUUAACCCACCGUUUAAAGAGCCGCAUCCUUGCUGACAACAUGAGCUGCUUUUUAGAGCACUUCUCCAUUAAGAAGAGGUAAAAACACGCUGGGCAUAUUUUGCAUGUUAACAAAGAGGAGAGGGUGGCUAUUGGUAGGCGGAAAAGGAUAGAAACUCUAAUAUUCUUCUGUUAAUUAAGGGAUUAUCAUCUAUAGAUUUACUAAAGGUAUCUCCUGACCAAAACUUUAAACCAUUUUAAAAAAUAUACUCUGAGUAAUUUAGUGCUCUAAAACCUUAAAAACAAAAAUUACUGGCAAUUCUGGUUUUCAAAAAAGGCUAUACACAAGCUGUAAUGACUCCAAUUUUGAUUUUUAAAAAUAAAAUCUUCAAUCUACAUCCACGAAAUAAUUAACAGUAAGAUAGGUGGAGAAUUCAGUAAAAAAUUUCGAAAUAUUGAAUAUCGGGCGGUACCGUUAUAUAGAAUCCAAUACAUAAUGUCGCCUAAAUCUCCAAAAUACCGAAUAUCAGGAGUUACCGCUAUAUGGGGGCUAUAAGAAAACGUGAGCAUAUACAGUCAAUGUAUGGAACAAAAUAUGGAACAAUUUAAAGGGAAAUGUGGCUAGAAUGAUCAAAAUGUCGAAUAUCGGGUGGUACCGUUAUAUGCGUACUAUAGAAAAACGUCGACCUAUAUAGACUCACAGGAGGUAUACCUAUUACAAACUAUAAAUACCAAAUUUGGAAAAAUUCCGUGGAAAUGUAGCUAAAAAACAACAUCAUGUUGGCAUAUUUAUAUUGAAUUGUAUUAAAUAAAUGAAAUGAAAAUACCGAAUAUCGGGAGAUACCGUUAUAAGGAACUAUACGAAAAACGUAGACCAAUACAAUUUAUAUCAUUUUCAGCACCUACCAUCCUGGAGUCUUCUAUGAAUAUUUAGAGAUGUUACAAACGUAAUGACAUAUUUAAUAUACCCUUCUUGCAGAUAUUAUUAUCACCAUCAACUCAAGCGUAAGGGAGUGCUCCGUCAGGAAAUCAGUGUCCAGGGACACUCCUCAAGGGAAAUUCUGGGAAAUUCUUGCAAACUAUUUCAGACCUAAUGCAGGGAGCUCUUGUAAGACCAUGGAGAUGUGAGCGUUGCAAUGGGCUUGGUGUCAACCCAUUUAAAAUAGAGCUUGUUCUCUUUACGAGGAAGCGGAAACUCCCGGAAUUUUUACCACCAUCGCUGGAUGGCGUCACAUUAAGUCGUUCGUCUGAAGCCAAGUAUCUCGGCACCAUCUUCGACCAGCGUCUGAACUGGAGGAGGAACAUCGAGGAACGCGCUAAACGAUGCUUGAUAGCACUCUACUCCUGCAAAAACUCCAUAGGGAAGAGCUGGAGACUGAAACCGUAUAUCAUCAAAUGGUUAUAUGAGUCAAUCGUCCGUCCUAUUCUGACUUAUGGUAGUUUAGUUUGGUGGCAAUCUCUUGGAGACGGCUUCCCUCAGUAAAAACAUUGGCAAAGUACAAAGAGCGACAUCACUUUUAAUUACAGUUUAUUUCUAGAGGAACAAGCUGCGAGAUGUCCACUGAUACAACGUGGUCAAUGGCGUAGUCAAUCUUACGGAUAUUCGGUCAUAUUGAAUUAUGUGGAGAACUAAGCUAGACUUCGAAAGACUGGCAUCCACAUACCUAAAUGGAAAGUGGAACGGGUGCAGGUGUUUUCUGCGAAGGCCUGAAUAUCCGGAAUUCAUUCAAGCUCAAUAAAGAUUGUAGCGUAUUCCAGGCAGAAAUCUUUGCUGUCAGAAAGCCGUAGAAUUGCUAAUGGAUCGAACAGAUUGCUGAUGACUAUAUAUGUCGAUAUUCAAGCGGCCCUGAAACUGCUAAAUUCAUCCACCAUCAAAUCUAUGGUGGUCCUGAAGCUGCAGAUGAAUUGGCAAGAAGCGACUCCGAGUCAACUGUUCUAGAGAUUGAGAGCUCGGUAAAAAAAACCUCGUGUCACUUCUUCCAGAUUAUACACAAACACUAAUGGAAGAUUUCAGCAUACUUGGCAGAAUGCAAUAGGCCGUAUUGCCCCCAAAAAUAUGGCCAAUAAUCUCCGAAAGGAGAUCUUUUUCACUCAUUUCCAUGGCUAAAUUGGACCUAAAACUUGUAGUAGGCUUAAUCACAGGUCACUGUAAUAUUAGGGCCAUGACGUCCAAGUGGGGGGUGACGAUACGGGCUAUUCUAGGCUUUGUCAAGACGAGGAAGAAAUAGAAACUGCGGAACACUUACUGUGUCAAUGUAAGCAAACUCUGCAUGAUCUGUCUUCACUCUCCAAUACUGAGCCGUCAAUUAUUCUUCAGCUAGCUGGAAGACUCAAAUAGCUAAAGACAACACGUCACAAUUGAGCAGCAGGUCUCCGAGUGGAGUGGUUGCUAUGCAACCGCGCAUCCUCUAACCUAAUCUACAUAUACAUAUCAGUUUUACAAAUCACCAUUGUAUUAAAUAUUUUUUUUAAUGUUUAAAAAUUUCUUCAUACACAUACUUUUUGUACAUAGUGUAUUUUUUCAUUGGCGACUAUCAAAUCUCAACAAAGUGUUUUGCAAGUUUGUUAACUCGAAACUUUAAAUGGCAACAAACAACAUAAAAAACAACACGCUGCAAAACAUGUCAUUAAAUCUCUAAUAAAAAUAAACCAUCUAAGAAGCGCUACUAAAGUGAUUUGUAUUAGCCCAAAUUGGAAAUGCUACUAUAAAUUUAAAUUAGCCAUAGUGGUGACAACAAUGUGCCGCCAUUGUACAUACAUCUGUAGCCACAAAAUAUAUGUUUAUGAUUUCCAUAUGACAGCUUAAAUUUGGUGUGUGGGGGUGUGUGAAAAUUUAGACAAGACCAACGAUUAAUCUCCUAAAUGAAAAAAAAAAACAACAGCAACAAUCUGGGUUAAGAGAAAAAGUAAAUUUCUGGUAGAAGAACGCAAAAUUCUUUGGAUUUUUAAUGAUAGAAAUUUGUCAUGGGGAAUUUUUUCACUUGUCUCUUGGGAUACAGCGCAAUCGGAAACAUGUCAAAUUAGACAAAUAAACUAGUAAUAUAUAAGUUGAGUAUUGGAUUGGGUGUUUUAAGUUGAUAGUAUCAACGUCUGUUUUAAUCUUUAUAUGUAUAAACAAGGGGUUCCAAUAAAUAAUAGAAAAAAUUGUAAAUUUACCCGUUUCCAAUGAAACAUUUUAAUGUCUGUUAGUUAUCUUGUAAGCCUUGGAUUAAUAAAAUGCUGAGUAGAAAAAUCAUUAACUCUAAUAUUGGUAAUGUAUUAAUCUUUUGCCUCAGGACCAUAUUGCUUCUCCAAAAAAAAAAACUAUCUUCAGCAAAUUGAUGACAUCAGCAUGUAGAUUUACGAUAAAAUUUAGGCCUGCCAGAAUGCUGCGGUGAAAAUCGUCUAUAUGAGCAGGCGAAGGUCCUUCCCAUACGUCAAGAUAACUAUGUACUUUCGUUGCAGUUCCUGCUUGGGUGCUAUCGUGGGGGUCAUCCAAACCAUCAUAUGGUGAAUAGAACUCCUUCACCCAGGCAGACAUAUAUUAAGGACAUAUGCCAUAAAAGAGUGCCUCUAGAUCAAGACGAGUAGAAAGCGGGUCUGAGUGGCAUUCAUACUGAUACAGUCACAUAUACGAUCAGUAAUUAUAGUAUGAAUACCGUCCCCGCUAAAUUCCAUUGCAGUUGAAGAACGUAUGAAGACCAGAGUAGUUUUGGCGCAAUUACGUUCAGUCGUCUCAAUUCGUAUUGAACACGAAUUGACGAAGAUGCGUGAAACGUCUAAGCGGCGUGUAAUACAGUUCCACCCAAAACGCUGCACCUCUUUAAUUGUCCCGCCAAACCUACCACCAAUCACUGGUUACAGACUACAAAACAAAUUUCUUCUAAACACUGACUUUUUAAAAAUUAAGCUUCAUAGUUAGUCACCGUGAAGCACCUUGGACCAUGAUACACCUUGUCGGAUCUCGUAUAAUUAUUGGAACUUAUGGUUUGUAAAGUUCUGUUGACAGAAGAAAUCAAGGCAUGUGUCGCUUCUUUACUGAUGGAUUCUUUUAAAAGCAUGAAAAUAAUCUGGAAUUCCAUUGAAAAAUCCUCUUGACUAGUGUGGCAUAUUUCUCUCGGCGGUUACACUAAGCUGCUGCUUUGGGAACUUGUUAUGCAAAAUACAUGUUCGUGGCUACAAUUUGCCCGAUAUUGUGUUUUGUUUUUAAAGGCUCACCCCUUCCCAUUUAUUAUAAAAUAAACUUCGGCUUAACUCUAGUAAAAAAUCCAGAUUUUUUUAAUUUCCCAGAUGAUGUUUAUGCUUAUGGUGGUCUUAUCAAAAUUAUCGAUUUUUGGACCGGUACUUUUGAUUAAACCACCAAAAGUGGAAAUCGCAAAAAGUAGGACCAAAUAUAUGCGGUAGCCGGUAUUGGACAUACCUAGAGGAGAAAACCUCUUAAACCUCUCUGGUUCCCGAAUUUAAUUCUUCUGGAUCCGUAUUUGAAAAGCCAGACUGUCAGCUAUAAUUUAACAUAGAAAUAUUUUAUUAUUUGUAAUUUUUUAACAUUUAGAGGAGCCUAACUCUUUUAGAGGGAUAAAACCCUUUUAAGUAAGCCCACCUUUUGUUUAGGUAUUUUCAUAAGCUUUCAAAUCUUAUCUAUAUCGGUAUAGUAGAUCCGUGUCUAACCAAGGUAUGAACACGGACUUUCGGCUCAAAACAGGGUGCCCAGCUCCGUACCUCAAAAAAAUAGUUUUCCAAAAUCAGGGUACAAAAACCUACCUCUGGAAAAAAUUCAAAGUUUCAAAUUCUGAGUUUUUACUACACUAAAAGUGUUCC